rnacentral:RNase_P_RNA from 1 species
CGGCAUAGCGGCGCUAUCGUCUUUGCCGCGCAAGCGGCAGGGAAGGAAAGUCCGGACAGCGCAGGGCAACGCACCACCUAACGGGUGGGGCGCCUGUGAAAGCAGGCGUACAGAGAGUGCCACAGAAAAUUACUUCCACGGGGCAACCUGCGGUAAAGGUGAAAACGUGGGGUAAGAGCCCACGUCCCGGGAUGGUAACAUUGCGGGAGGGUAAACCUUGCGUGCUGAAAUGCCAUGUAAACGGUCGUUUGAGGGCUGCCCGCCUGAUGACCGAGGGUAGGCAGAUACAGGCGCCCAGUGAUGGGCGUCGCAGAUAAAUGAUAGCGGUCCCGUUGCAGAACGGGGCACAGAAUCCGGCUUACAAGCUAUGCCGGGUG